rnacentral:rRNA from 1 species
UGAUGGGAUAACAGUUGGAAACGACUGCUAAUACCGAAUAUGCUCAUGAUGAACUUUAUGAGGAAAGGUGGCCUCUGCUUGCAAGCUAUCGCAUAGAGAUGAGUCCGCGUCCCAUUAGCUAGUUGGUGGGGUAACGGCCUACCAAGGCAACGAUGGGUAGCCGAUCUGAGAGGAUGAUCGGCCACACUGGAACUGAAACACGGUCCAG